CCUACGGGUGGCAGCAGUAAGGAAUAUUGGUCAAUGGGCGCGAGCCUGAACCAGCAACGUAGCGUGAAGGAUGACUGCCCUACGGGUUUCAAACUUCUUUUAUAAAGGAGUAAGGUGAGGCACGUGUGCCUUUUUGUAUGUACUUUAUGAAUAAGGAUAGGCUCACCCCGUGCCAGCCGACGCGGUAAUACGGAGGAUCCGAGCGUUAUCCGGAUUUAUUGGGUUUAAAGGGAGCGUAGAUGGGUUGUUAAGUCAGUUGUGAAAGUUUUCGGCUCAACCGUAAAAUUGCAAUUGAUACUGGCAGUCUUGAGUACAGAUGAGGUAGGCGGAAUUCGUGGUGUAGCGGUGAAAUGCUUAGAUAUCACGAAGAACUCCGAUGGCGAAGGCAGCUUACUAAACUGUCACUGACAUUGAGGCUCGAAAGUGUGGGUAGCAAACAGGAUUAGAUACCCUAGUAGUC
rnacentral:rRNA from 1 species